rnacentral:rRNA from 1 species
UGGGGAAUAUUGCACAAUGGAGGGAACUCUGAUGCAGCGACGCCGCGUGAACGAAGAAGGCCUUCGAGUCGUAAAGUUCUCUUAUAUGGGAAGAUAAUGACGGUACCAUAAGAAAAAGCCCCGGCUAACUACGUGCCAGCAGCCGCGGUAAUACGUAGGGGGCUAGCGUUGUCCGGAAUCACUGGGCGUAAAGGGUUCGCAGGCGGAAAUGCAAGUCAGGUGUAAAAGGCAGUAGCUUAACUACUGUAAGCAUUUGAAACUGCAUAUCUUGAGAAGAGUAGAGGUAAGUGGAAUUUUUAGUGUAGCGGUGAAAUGCGUAGAUAUUAAAAAGAAUACCGGUGGCGAAGGCGACUUACUGGGCUCAUUCUGACGCUGAGGAACGAAAGCGUGGGUAGCAAACAGG